rnacentral:rRNA from 1 species
AUACGUAGGGGGCGAGCGUUGUCCGGAAUGAUUGGGCGUAAAGGGCGCGUAGGCGGCGCGGUAAGUCUGGAGUGAAAGUCCUGCUUUCAAGGUGGGAAUUGCUUUGGAUACUGCCGCGCUUGAGUGCAGGAGAGGUUAUCGGAAUUCCCGGUGUAGCGGUGAAAUGCGUAGAGAUCGGGAGGAACACCAGUGGCGAAGGCGGGUAACUGGACUGCAACUGACGCUGAGGCGCGAAAGUGUGGGGGGCAAACAUGAUUAGAUACCCUGGUAGUCCACACUGUAAACGAUGAAUGCUAGGUGUAAGAGGUAUCGACCCCUUUUGUGCCGGAGUCAACACAAUAAGCAUUCCGCCUGGGGAGUACGGCCGCAAGGUUGAAACUCAAAUGAAUUGGCGGGG